rnacentral:rRNA from 1 species
UACGUAGGGGGCAAGCGUUGUCCGGAAUCAUUGGGCGUAAAGCGCGCGUAGGCGGCCAGAUAAGUCCGGUGUGAAAGUCAAAGGCUCAACCUUUGAAUGCCGCUGGAAACUGUCUGGCUUGAGUCCGGAAGGGGCGAGUGGAAUUCCUGGUGUAGCGGUGAAAUGCGCAGAUAUCAGGAGGAACACCAAUGGCGAAGGCAGCUCGCUGGAACGGUACUGACGCUGAGGCGACGAAGCGUGGGGAGCGAACAGG